rnacentral:tRNA from 1 species
GAGCUCGUAGCUCAGCUGGAUAGAGUGUUUGACUACGAAUCAAAAGGUCGUGGGUUCGAAUCCCUCCGGGCUCGCCA